ACCUUAUCCAAUCUGUGAAGUCCUGAUUCUCUUGAAAAUUAUUAUGAAGGCUUCAAAACAGAAAAGACUGUCUCUUGCAUGUCUUGCUAGCCAUGGUGGCCCUCACUACAUCCCCUUCAGUCUACAGUUUAAAAUUAUGAUCAUGGAAACUCUUCUUGCACAUGAAAAUAAUUUGGACAAGCCAGCCAUAAACAACAUGAGGUGUUGCAAUUAGAGAUUUUUAGUUCAGUUUGCAAAAGCUUGCUGACACUCUGGCUGAGUGGUUGAAAUUUCUGGUAUAGCAAGUAAUGAUGACAUUCGAUAAAAAGUUCCUUGAUCAGUCGACACUUGACAGUCCGGCUCUUGUGAUAGCAACGGUGAAGACAUUAAGAAUUUGAGAAUACUGAACUAAUAAAACACUUUAAAUUGA